CUUGUUCACGUGAAGUGAACAUGAAGUAGAGAGCUGGAUCCAUCACCUGCUCCAAGAGCUGAGCCAGAGGGGCUGGUUUCCAGCAUCUGUUAGCACGGAGCUGUCAGGAGAAUUCUGCCUGGCAGCCAGGGCCCAGAAGAAAACAUCCAGGUCCACCACAGCACAUUGUUCCUUUUGGCUUCCUCACAUCUUCAGACUGAUGUGGCAGGCUUUGUCCAAGGGACUUCUGUGGUAACCAAUGAUACAGAGGAGCUACAGGCUAGAAGAUCGUUUGCAAUCUGCUCUGCUGACUCAAAAUUCCUGUGGAAUAUCACCCUAGAGAAUACACAUUCUACUGAAUACCAAGUACCUUUCAUAUAGGCAAUAGUAUCCCCUCUCUCUCUCCAUGCAGCCAAAGGUUGAGAGGGAGGUUCAGUUGCUCCAAACCUGGCCACGGACACCCCCAGUCUCCCAUACCACAACAGCAAGAUGUGUUCACUGAGGUGUGGCCAUCAAACCACAGCCUCCAAGGUGCCUGGGAAAGCCUUGACCCAGAGUGCUUGCUCAGGAAACGACCCUGUAGUAGGCUACCAAACACCCUUGACUUUGUCUGUGGGAUGGUUAAUCAACAAGUCUGUCACAAUGAUGGAUUCCUCCUGAAUUGUUGCUUAAUUAGCUCGGUUGGAAGUAUAAAUCAAGUGGAAUACCAAUUCUUCCAAUGCCACAGACAGGCAGCCAUGCUCAGCUUGACAGCAUGGAAGAGUGGGUUCAGUGGCCCCUCUUGCCCAGGAUGUACCUACCUGAGUGAUGCUCUGCAAGCUGGUGAGCGAGGCAGUGACACAGCACAGACUGGUAAC